rnacentral:rRNA from 1 species
UACGAAGGGGGCAAGCGUUGUUCGGAAUUAUUGGGCGUAAGGGGUGCGUAGGCGGUCUGAUAAGUCAUCUGUGAAAUCUAUGGGCUCAACCCAUAGUCUGCAGGCGAAACUGUCGGGCUUGAGUAUGGGAGAGGUGAGUGGAAUUUCCGGUGUAGCGGUGAAAUGCGUAGAUAUCGGAAGGAACACCUGUGGCGAAAGCGGCUCACUGGACCAUUACUGACGCUGAGACGCGAAAGCGUGGGGAGCGAACAGG